UGAAAGCAUCUAAGCGGGAAGCCUGCUUCGAGAUGAGGACUCCCAACCUCCUAGAGAGGGUAAGGCUCCCAGUAGACGACUGGGUUGAUAGGCCGGAUAUGGAAGCACGGUAACGUGUGGAGUUGACCGGUACUAAUAGGCCGAGGGCUUGUCCUC
rnacentral:ncRNA from 1 species